GCUGGGGAGGAGGAUUAGUGGUUUCAGGCUUGGCAGAGUCAGCAGAAGGCGUGGAAGAAGAAGGAGCAAACUCUUCUUUCUUCUCUUGUUCCUCUGCAGCGCCCUCUCCCGCAUUCAUGUUGAUAUCAAUACCCAUCAACAUGCCAAUCACCUUCAUCAUCCUUGGGUCAUUCAACUCGGCCAUGAUACUGCCAGGAUUUUGUUGAAUCUUUUGGAGCUUAGCCAUAAAGGCCGAAUCAGCAAGCAAAGAAGCCGUUUCCGGAUUGCUAGCAAGCUUUUCCAUGAAUUUAGGAUCGGAAAGUUGAGAACCUAACUUGGCGAACGGGUUGAAACCGCCGGCACCAGAAGCGGC